rnacentral:hammerhead_ribozyme from 1 species
AUCCAACUGACGAGUCCCAAAUAGGACGAAACGCUCGUCCUGGAC